AGCAGCUGGAACCUCAGGCACGCGCGGCGCCGGCCCCUGGAGCUCAGAACCGCAGUUAGGACUGCAUCCGGCACCAGGCAGCCAGCGGCGAGGGGGACAUGGGAUCGUGCUGCCAUCUGGUGGCUGGAUGGCUUAAGGGCCACCGUAGCUGAAAGCCUUGCCGCUGAAUGCCGAAACGUAACCUUCCCUGGCUGCUGUAUAGAUAACAUGCGUAAGCCACCAUGGUCACAGCUUCUUCGGUCGUUUUUCAGGAACUUAGACCAGCUCCUGUCCAGUUCAAACUGGUUGAGACCACUAACCCUUCAACUGGGCCUGCGCAAGUGCCCAAAACGUGGCCUUUUGACAUUGGAGGGCCAAAAACUCUGCCUUCAGCUCAUGCUAAUGCUACCCUUUUCUGUACACGUGUCCUGUGAAAUGCCAUGAACUCCAGCCAUGCUCACACAGAACGAAGCUGUCACUUAUCUUCGGGGGACGUGGAUUUGAGAGAUGUUGUCCCACCUCCCCGCUCAGUGCCCUUGCGAAUAAAUCUUUUCUCUUUUGCAAAA